rnacentral:rRNA from 1 species
CCCUUAGAUGUUCUGGGCCGCACGCGCGCUACACUGAUGCAUUCAACGAGUCUAAAACCUGCUCUGAUAGGGGUGGGUAAUCUUUUGAAUGUGCAUCGUGAUUGGGAUAGAUGAUUGCAAUUUUUCAUCUUCAACGAGGAAUGCCUAGUAAACGCAAGUCAUCAGCUUGCAUUGAUUACGUCCCUGCCCUUUGUACACACCGCCCGUCGCUCCUACCGAUUGAAUGAUCCGAUGAAUAUCAUGGAUUGAGGAUGCAAGCAGGUUCGCCUGUCUUCAUCUUCUAGAAGUGAAGUAAAUCUUAUCAUUUAGAGGAAGGAGAAGUCGUAACA